AUAAAUGAACAAUGGCAUCUUCUAUUGGAGAUAAGAACAUGGAAAAGAUGCAAGAACGAAAAACAAAUAGAGUUUCAAGUGGAUUCAGAAGGAGGUACUGUACACAUUGACGAAAAUUCUCAAGUUACAACAAAAUGCACCCAGAAGAGAACCAAGUUUACUCAUCAACAUUACAUUAUUUUAUUUAUUUAUUUUCUUCGUAACGUGUAACGACUUACAAAGUACAUGUACUUAGGUUCAAUCACAAUUCUGUAUUAUGAAUGGCUCCCACAUGAGGGGGAUUUUUGUUGUAUACUUUCAAACCAUUCAAUUCAAUCAAUCGAUUUAUUAUUAUCUGUGAAAACAAUAAACUCAACCCUAUCGUCUCUGCUUUUGUUUGGGCGUCAUUAAAAUGCACAAGGUGAGAUGCAGGGGAGUCGCAUUGUGUAUUCCUUUUUCAACACACAUUAUCUUGUACCUACAAACAGACAUACUACUAUGUUGGAUUGAAGACUCAACGAUAAAAUCGAUAACAGACUAAAAUUUUAGGAAGAAGAAACAUAAAAGAACUUACCGUCUUUCAACAAUUGUCGCAUUUCCUUGGUUCUCUGGAAAUUGAUAUCCUCCAAUAAUUGCUGCAAUGGUGUUUGAGCUUUUAGCAAGGAUCCACUGGCCAACGCCAUUUUUUAGGAGUUUUCCUUCUUAUUUCGAAUUAUUGUAAUACAAAAAAAAGAGUUAUGGAAUAAGUUAAGACUUCUUCGCAGAGCAAAUGAGUUUUCCGUUUUAGAAUUGGAAUUUCGUAAGAUGAGUUAUUUAUUUAUUCACCACAGAAUUGUUGUAAAAAAAAAACUAUUUGUACUUUUUUUCGUAGACAUUUUUUAUCUACAUGAAUCUUAAAAAAUAAACUUGUUCACUUCUUUUUUAAA